ACGGGUUAGAGUUAUUGAUUGAUCCUCAUUGUAACAAUUAGGAAACCAGAUGCUCCUAUGUUGUCAAGGACAGCUUUUCCUAAGGAAGUUGGUGGAUGUUAAUGGGUCUUAUGUGGAAAAGGUGGUUAUUGAGUCAAAUAUAUUUGAAAAAGCCAGGUGCCAGGCAGUCGGAAGCGUUUCCUGUGCAUGUGGUGGCCUGAUCCUGUCUGCACAUCUGUGGGGUCCUGGUGGCUCAAGACAUAGAUGACCCUGAGAAGACUCCUGUUCUCAAGGAAGGAAAAUGCUUGAAAACAGCCAACCAGAGUGAGAGAGAUCCGAAUCCGUCCACGUCAUACAGCUUGGGGAUGGAGACUGAUUUCUAGGUUUUCGGUAGAAAACAGGCGUCCUUCCUGCCUAUGUCCUGAGGAGAAAGGAGAAGCUAGUGUAACCGAAGAGGCUGGGGUCACCCUGGCUUUACACCCUCGAUUAAAGUCCGCUUGCUGUCGCAAUA